rnacentral:rRNA from 13 species
UCAUAACGACUCUCGGCAACGGAUAUCUCGGCUCUCGCAUCGAUGAAGAACGUAGCGAAAUGCGAUACUUGGUGUGAAUUGCAGAAUCCCGUGAACCAUCGAGUCUUUGAACGCAAGUUGCGCCCGACGCCUUCGGGCUGAGGGCACGCCUGCCUGGGCGUCA